GAUGAACGCUGGCGGCGUGCCUAAUACAUGCAAGUCGAGCGAACAGACGAGGAGCUUGCUCCUCUGACGUUAGCGGCGGACGGGUGAGUAACACGUGGAUAACCUACCUAUAAGACUGGGAUAACUUCGGGAAACCGGAGCUAAUACCGGAUAAUAUAUUGAACCGCAUGGUUCAAUAGUGAAAGACGGUUUUGCUGUAUCUUAUAGAUGGAUCCGCGCCGCAUUAGCUAGUUGGUAAGGUAACGGCUUACCAAGGCGACGAUGCGUAGCCGACCUGAGAGGGUGAUCGGCCACACUGGAACUGAGACACGGUCCAGACUCCUACGGGAGGCAGCAGUAGGGAAUCUUCCGCAAUGGGCGAAAGCCUGACGGAGCAACGCCGCGUGAGUGAUGAAGGUCUUCGGAUCGUAAAACUCUGUUAUUAGGGAAGAACAAAUGUGUAAGUAACUAUGCACGUCUUGACGGUACCUAAUCAGAAAGCCACGGCUAACUACGUG
rnacentral:rRNA from 1 species